AUGAGAGCGAACUGGAACCGUUCUGUUCAGAGACUGUGUCCUCCAGGAAGCCUGCCAAGAUGGGCUAUCCUUGUCUGCUGGACCCUCCCUCAGGCUUCCAGGCAUUCAGGAAGGAUUACUCUUCGAAUAGAUAUUGCAGGAGCCUUCAGUAUGUGCCAAAACCCCACCCCACCGCUGCCCUGCUCACCACAAAAAUAUAAGGUGUUCAACAACUAA
rnacentral:lncRNA from 1 species